UACGGAAGGUCCGGGCGUUAUCCGGAUUUAUUGGGUUUAAAGGGAGCGUAGGCCGUUUGGUAAGCGUGUUGUGAAAUGUCGGGGCUCAACCUGGGCAUUGCAGCGCGAACUGCCAGACUUGAGUGCGCAGGAAGUAGGCGGAAUUCGUCGUGUAGCGGUGAAAUGCUUAGAUAUGACGAAGAACUCCGAUUGCGAAGGCAGCCUGCUGUAGCGCAACUGACGCUGAAGCUCGAAAGCGUGGGUAUCGAACAGG
rnacentral:rRNA from 2 species